CAGAUUGAACGCUGGCGGCGUGCUUAACACAUGCAAGUCGCGCGUGAAAGGACUUCGGUCCGAGUAAAGCGGCGCACGGGUGAGUAACGCGUGGAUGAUCUACCCAUGAGUUAGGAAUAACGGCUGGAAACGGUCGCUAAUACCAAAUACGCUCCGAUUUCAACUUCGGGGGAAAGGUGGCCUCUGCUUGCAAGCUACUGCUCAUGGAUGAGUCCGCGUCCCAUUAGCUAGUUGGUGGGGUAACGGCCCACCAAGGCGACGAUGGGUAGCCGGUCUGAGAGGAUGACCGGCCACACUGGGACUGGAACACGGCCCAGACUCCUACGGGAGGCAGCAGUGGGGAAUAUUGCGCAAUGGGCGAAAGCCUGACGCAGCGACGCCGCGUGAGGGAUGAAAGGUCCUCGGAUCGUAAACCUCUGUCAGGAGGGAAGAACCGCCACGGUGCUAAUCAGCCGUGGUCUGACGGUACCUCCAAAGGAAGCACCGGCUAACUCCGUGCCAGCAGCAGC
rnacentral:rRNA from 1 species